rnacentral:rRNA from 1 species
UUGAACGCUGGCGGCAGGCCUAACACAUGCAAGUCGAGCGGUAACAGAAAGAAAGCUUGCUUUCUUUGCUGACGAGCGGCGGACGGGUGAGUAAUGCCUGGGAAUAUGCCUUAGUGUGGGGGAUAACUAUUGGAAACGAUAGCUAAUACCGCAUAACGUCUUCGGACCAAAGAGGGGGACCUUCGGGGCCUCUCGCGCUAAGAUUAGCCCAGGUGGGAUUAGCUAGUUGGUGAGGUAAAGGCUCACCAAGGCAACGAUCCCUAGCUGGUCUGAGAGGAUGAUCAGCCACACUGGAACUGAGACACGGUCCAGACUCCUACGGGAGGCAGCAGUGGGGAAUAUUGCACAAUGGGGGGAAACCCUGAUGCAGCCAUGCCGCGUGUAUGAAGAAGGCCUUCGGGUUGUAAAGUACUUUCAGUCGUGAGGAAGGGUGUGUAGUUAAUACGCUCCGCAGUGCCUUGACGUUAGCGACAGAAGAAGCACCGGCUAACUCCGUG